rfam:Triticum aestivum genome assembly, contig: Triticum_aestivum_CS42_TGACv1_scaffold_080895_1DS
CUAUUACUCCCUCCGUCCGGAAAUACUUGUCAUCAAAAUGGAUAAAAGAAGAUGUAUCUAGACGUAUUUUAGUUCUAGAUACAUCCCUUUUUAUUCAUUUCGAUGACAAGUAUUUUGGGACGGAGGGAGUAUAUG